UACGUAGGGUGCGAGCGUUGUCCGGAAUUAUUGGGCGUAAAGAGCUCGUAGGCGGUGUGUCACGUCGGCCGUGAAAACCUGCAGCUUAACUGUGGGCGUGCGGUCGAUACGGGCAUCACUGGAGUUCGGCAGGGGAGACUGGAAUUCCUGGUGUAGCGGUGAAAUGCGCAGAUAUCAGGAGGAACACCGGUGGCGAAGGCGGUUCCCUGGGACGGUACUGACGCUGAGACGCGAAAGCGUGGGGGAGCGAACAGG
rnacentral:rRNA from 1 species